rnacentral:rRNA from 1 species
GACAAACGCUGGCGGCGUACUUAAGACAUGCAAGUCGAACGGGUGUCCUGCUUUCGGGUGGGAUGCUAGUGGCGGAUGGGUGAGUAACGCGUAGGAACCUGUCGUUAAGUGGGGGAUACCGCUGGGAAACCGGCGCUAAUACCGCAUGUGGUCGAGCGAUCGAAGAAAGCAGCAAUGCGCUUGAUGAGGGGCCUGCGUCCGAUUAGCUAGUUGGUGGGGUAAAGGCCUACCAAGGCGCGAUCGGUAGCUGGUCUGAGAGGAUGGUCAGCCACACUGGGACUGAGACACGGCCCAGACUCCUACGGG